UGCGAAGGUGGCGGAAUUGGUGACGCGCUAGCUUCAGGUGUUAGUGUCCACGGACGUGGGGUUCAAGUCCCCCCUCGCACC
rnacentral:tRNA from 1 species